UACGGAGGGUGCGAGCGUUGUCCGGAAUCACUGGGCGUAAAGGGCGCGUAGGCGGCGCGGGCAGUCAACGGUGAAAGCUCGGAGCUCAACUCCGAGUCGGCCGUCGAUACUCCCGUGCUUGAGCACUGUAGAGGCAGGUGGAAUUCCGGGUGUAGCGGUGGAAUGCGUAGAGAUCCGGAAGAACACCGGUGGCGAAGGCGGCCUGCUGGGCAGUAGCUGACGCUGAUGCGCGACAGCGUGGGGAGCAACAGGAU
rnacentral:rRNA from 1 species